rnacentral:lncRNA from 1 species
AGCAUUCCCGCCGAUGGCAGACUGUUGACUGAUACUUGGAGGUUUGGAUCGUCGUGGCGGGUUGGAGGUCAUCGCGCUUGCACUCGGAAGCAGGAAAGACCGGGUGGGAUCUCACGAUGUCGGCAAUCGAAACUGCCCAAAGUGAGAAGAUUGUGUCGUGUAUUCGACCAUCACAAGGCUUUCGCGGAGUGUGCAGCUAAAGUGAAUCCACACAAUUAUAAGGAAGCGUGUCUUCUGGAUGCCUGUAGCUGUACAGGUUACCGAUGUCACUGCGCGGCUUACAGAGCUUACGCGAGAGAGUGUGCGCGCGUAGGAGCAGAGCCUCUGAAUUGGGUACACGCAGCGUUUUGUGAAGGUCCGCCGCCGCAGUGGCUCAACCGAGGAGGUCGCAAGGGUUUCGGCCGCUCCGCCACUCCCAAGGACACCAACUUGCUGAACAUUGGGGCGCUGCCGAAACGGAACAAUAGCCGCUCCCGACCUCCCCCUCCAAUUUUGCACUACAAAAACUUGCGGCAACAAAAUUACUAGUCAAUGUGGCAUAAUGUGAGUAUGUAAUCGAAAUCGGAUGGUUAUUGUACGAGUGGGUCGCACCUGUGAGGCGCGACGCUUUAGGAACGAAGAUCUAUUUACAUAAACAGUAUUCAUUUAAACUACUUAUAGUUAGGUAAACAAGCUGUUAUAUAUUACGAUGUACCAACUGUACAUUUAUAGUACCUCGCCAAAUGACCAGCUUCUAUUUCGAAAUGAGUAGAUACCUAAUCAUUCCCAUAUUUAGGUACUUGUUUUGCUUGUGAACGUUAGAUGGAUGUUUGGAAAUGGAUUUUGUUUGAGGCUUGACUUCUUCUUCACUGUCAACGUUAGUUAUUCUCGAAUCGUUAACGCUAUUCGUUUACUCUCGUUAGUUAUCUAUGAUCAAAUUAUACUUGUGAAUGUACGGAAUUUUCACAUUUUAUUAUCUUUUAUUGUUUUGGCCGAGGAAGUAAUAUUUUUUAUUCAGAUUAGUUGAUUUUUAAAAUUAAAAAACGCAAUUUUAAGAAUAUUUGAUUCAAGAUUUCCACACGUAUCCAACGUAACAUUAUUAAAAGAUAAAAGUAAUCCACUUAGUUGCAAAAAAUACCCACCUAUCUUUGUACCUACUAACGGAAGUUAAAUAUUUGCUAGGUUACUUUAUUUUUGCACUAAAAUGUAAACAAUAAAAGUAACUCUCCAAAAUUACGACCUAUAAAUUUAUGAUGAUCGAAAAUUUAGCCCCGUUGGUUCUCUAUAACUUAUUUUAUACUAUUAGAAUUAUAUAUGUAGAUAGUUUUGAAAACUUUUGGUUUGGUUUUGAAAGAUAUUUUGAAUUUUGAUGAUCGUUAAGCUUAAUUCCUGUCUUGUAGUUUCGACUAUUGAGGGUUGCAUUUGUUAAAUAAUGUUGGAUGUAUUAACAUGUCAACAAAAUGUGAUAAAUAGCUUUGGAUAUGACUUCAGACAGGAGACGUUUGAAUAACAUAGUUCAAAUUAAGAUCUCAUCUGUAGAUAGUUUACAAAAUCUUAGAUCUAGCCGAAGCCAAGAAGCUAAAAUGAUUAUAUUGUGUACCUUAUAUAAUUACACUUUGGAAUGAAGUGUCUCAAAUUGUUUAUCGAAAUGUAUACGGUAAAAGGAGCGGGUCUAUAUUUGUGAGCAUCUAAAGGUUUCGUUGUGCAUGAAAAAAGAAUAGAAGCGCAUAUUUCAUGUCUUGCUACUACACCGAUGGAUGCUUAGCAUUAUCCUAAUAUUAACAAAAUGAAUAAUUUAUGACUGUACAUAUUAUUUUGAUCUAUUCCACUAUACAUAAUAAUGUGUAACGAUUAUUUUAUUAUAAGAUAUUUAAGUUUAAGAAUUGAUUUAAAUUUUAGUUGUUAAAUGCGUUACCAAUGAAUUUUAAUAUUUGACUUUGAUCAUGCUGAAUUCGACGUAUAGGUGUUUUAUAUUAAUAAAGAUUUAUAAGGCAUGCCCUUACUUGUGCGUUUUUAUCUUCAUGUUGCAUCAUCAGGUUAUUAAUUCAAACGAAAUACACCGUGCUAGGUUCACCGUAAGCCGCCCUGACAUUUAUUAGUUCAAUACAAGAAACCCCAUAACAAUAUUCAAACCUCAAACUAACUCACACGCUAGCGAAAAAAAAAAAUUAAUUAAAAAAAA